GUAGGUGGCAAGCGUUGUCCGGAAUUAUUGGGCGUAAAGCGCGCGCAGGCGGUCCUUUAAGUCUGAUGUGAAAGCCCACGGGCUCAACCGUGGAGGGUCAUUGGAAACUGGGGGACUUGAGUACAGAAGAGGAAAGCGGAAUUCCAAGUGUAGCGGUGAAAUGCGUAGAGAUUUGGAGGAACACCAGUGGCGAAGGCGGCUUUCUGGUCUGUAACUGACGCUGAGGCGCGAAAGCGUGGGGAGCAAACAGGAUUAGAUACCCUGGUAGUCCACGCCGUAAACGAUGAGUGCUAAGUGUUAGGAGGUUUCCGCCCCUUAGUGCUGCAGCUAACGCAUUAAGCACUCCGCCUGGGGAGUACGGCCGCAAAGGCUG
rnacentral:rRNA from 1 species